rnacentral:misc_RNA from 1 species
AAAGUCGUAACAAGGUCUCCGUUGGUGAACCAGCGGAGGGAUCAUUAGUGAGACUUAGCGCUCCAACCCUUGCGAACAUUACCCAUUGCGGCGUUGCUUCGGCGGGCUUGCUGGCGGUCGUGCACUGGUUUUCCAGCGCGCGUCCGCCGGCAGCGCCAAACUCUUCAGUUUUUAGUGGAAAGUCUAUUCUGAGUGGAAAAAACAAAAUAAGCAAAACUUUCAACAACGGAUCUCUUGGUUCUG